ensembl:tRNA Mitochondrial serine tRNA (tRNA-Ser); predicted by tRNAscan-SE analysis
GGAUGGUUGACUGAGUGGUUUAAAGUGUGAUAUUUGAGCUAUCAUUAGUCUUUAUUGGCUACGUAGGUUCAAAUCCUACAUCAUCCGUAA